rnacentral:rRNA from 1 species
UACGUAGGGGCCAAGCGUUGUUCGGAUUUACUGGGCGUAAAGGGCGCGUAGGCGGCGUGACAAGUCACUUGUGAAAUCUCCGGGCUUAACUCGGAACGGCCAAGUGAUACUGUCGUGCUAGAGUGCAGAAGGGGCAAUCGGAAUUCUUGGUGUAGCGGUGAAAUGCGUAGAUAUCAAGAGGAACACCUGAGGUGAAGACGGGUUGCUGGGCUGACACUGACGCUGAAGCGCGAAAGCUAGGGGAGCAAACGGG